GGAAUUACACCUUGAAUCACACAUUAAGGCACAUUAAGUGUCAAUAAUACUACGAGUUUAGUUGCAAAUGAAUCUUACAGAUGCUUACACAGAUGUUCGUUCUAUAUCUUACAUUAAUUACUUAAGAAAAUACUUGAGUUAUUACCCAAUCAAAAAGACUAAAAAUCUUUUGGAGACAAUGAAAUCCGGAAGACUACGAUUUCUCAGUUGAACUGUAGCGAUUUUUUUCAAUCAACUAAAUGAAUUGCUGAGACAUGAGCACGAGCAAGAGAAAAUAGAUGAUGAAUAAGAGUGAAUAAGCGUGGACACACGAAUUGGACCAUCUCUGUACAAUAGUAAAAUGUGAAUAGUGUGGGUAGUGAGGCUGGAGUGGAGAAUGUAUUGGUGCCGGAAGUGACAGCAACACCAUCAGAAUUCCCGCUCAUGAAUAUGUGUUAAAAAAUCAUAGGAAAACCCCGAGAAAUUUUCAGAUACAUUAUGCAUCAAACAACUUAUUGAAAUGAGCCAUUAUCAUACAGAGAUGAUCCAAGUGUGAACCGAAUCAUAAAAUGAUAAUUUAUAAAGCAUAAUUUUAUUUGGAGUAAAGCUGUGACAAACGAUUGUCAUGAUAAAUUGAAUAAUGUUGCAUAUUUUUACAUAAUGAACAUUGUGGAAGACUUUUGAAAACCAAAAGUCAAUGACAAGGGUACAAUAUAAUCUUUUGAAGUUUAUCAAA